GGGGGGGGGUGCAAGUCGGGGUGUGUGAAUGGGGGUGGUGGUCGCUCGUUCACCAGCACGUGUUUCCUCAAAUGGCGAAAAAGUCUCGCGAGCAGGAGGCGUUAGAGGUGGUUCAUACAAUAGGCGUUCAAGGUGGUUCAUACAAUAGGUGUUAAAGGUGGUUCAUACAAUAGGCGUUGAAGGUGGUUCAAGCAGGAGGCGUUCAAGGUGGUUCAUACAAUAGGCGUUGAAGGUGGUUCAUACAAUAGGUGUUGAAUGUGGUUCAUACAAUAGGCGUUCGAGGUGGUUCAUACAAUAGGCGUUAAAGGUGGUUCAUACAAUAUGUGUUGAAGGUGGUUCAUACAAUAGGCGUUCAAGGUGGUUCAUACAAUAGGUGUUAAAGGUGGUUCAUACAAUAGGCGUUCAAGGUGGUUCAUACAAUAGGCGUUCAAGGUGGUUCAUACAAUAGGAGUUGAAGGUGGUUCAUACAAUAGGCGUUAAAGGUGGUUCAUACAAUAGGCGUUCAAGGUGGUUCAUACAAUAGGCGUUCAAGGUGGUUCAUACAAUAGGCGUUCAAGGUGGUUCAUACAAUAGGCGUUAAAGGUGGUUCAUACAAUAGGCGUUCAAGGUGGUUCAUACAAUAGGCGUUAAAGGUGGUUCAUACAAUAGGCGUUCAAGGUGGUUCAUACAAUAGGCGUUAAAGGUGGGUCAUACAAUAGGUGUUCAAGGUGGUUCAUACAAUAGGCGUUCAAGGUGGUUCAUACAAUAGGCGUUCAAGGUGGUUCAUACAAUAGGUGUUCAAGGUGGUUCAUACAAUAGGCGUUAAAGGUGGUUCAUACAAUAGGCGUUAAAGGUGGUUCAUACAAUAGGCGUUAAAGGUGGUUCAUACAAUAGGCGUUCAAGGUGGUUCAUACAAUAGGCGUUCAAGGUGGUUCAUACAAUAGGCGUUCAAGGUGGUUCAUACAAUAGGCGUUCAAGGUGGUUCAUACAAUAGGCGUUAAAGGUGGUUCAUACAAUAGGUGUUAAAGGUGGUUCAUACAAUAGGCGUUCAAGGUGGUUCAUACAAUAGGUGUUAAAGGUGGUUCAUACAAUAGGUGUUAAAGGUGGUUCAUACAAUAGGCGUUCAAGGUGGUUCAUACAAUAGGUGUUAAAGGUGGUUCAUACAAUAGGUGUUAAAGGUGGUUCAUACAAUAGGCGUUGAAGGUGGUUCAUACAAUAGGCGUUCAAGGUGGUUCAUACAAUAGGCGUUCAAGGUGGUUCAUACAAUAGGUGUUCAAGGUGGUUCAUACAAUAGGUGUUCAAGGUGGUUCAUACAAUAGGCGUUGAAGGUGGUUCAUACAAUAGGCGUUCAAGGUGGUUCAUACAAUAGGCGUUCAAGGUGGUUCAUACAAUAGGUGUUAAAGGUGGUUCAAGCAGCAGCAGGAGGAGGCGUUCGAGGCGGUUCAAAGUUACAAGUUGGGGGUGGGGGAGGCGACAACCCCGGCGGGAUUCGUCUCGCGGGGAUUCGCGCCCUCGCCUGCGCCCUCGCCUGCGCCCUGCUUCCGAGUCUCCUGCUGCCCACUUGGAAAGUCGACGUUCCCGCGGCGGGGCAGCGUACGGUCGGAGCGGCGCGCACCUCUCACGCUUCGGUGACACGGGCAAGGGAGGCGAAGGGCUCUCGAAGGACUGUGGGGGUGGAGAAGAGGGUAACAGACGUCACCACCACCACCAUCGCCAAGUUAACCACCGUCUCCUCGCCACUGUCGCCACCAAAACCACCACCGUCACAACCACCACCAUCACCACGAACUUAACCACCAUCAUCACCACUGUCGUCACAAC